rnacentral:rRNA from 1 species
UACGGGGGGGGCAAGCGUUGUUCGGAAUUACUGGGCGUAAAGGGCUCGUAGGCGGCCAACUAAGUCAGACGUGAAAUCCCUCGGCUUAACCGGGGAACUGCAUCUGAUACUGGAUGGCUUGAGUUCGGGAGAGGGAUGCGGAAUUCCAGGUGUAGCGGUGAAAUGCGUAGAUUUCUGGAGGAACACCGGUGGCGAAGGCGGCAUCCUGGACCGGCACUGACGCUGAGGAGCGAAAGCCAGGGGAGCAAACGGG